UACGUAGGGAGCAAGCGUUGUCCGGAAUCAUUGGGCGUAAAGCGCGCGUAGGUGGCCUCAUAAGUCCGCUGUGAAAGUCAAAGGCUCAACCUUUGAAAGCCGGUGGAUACUGUGGGGCUAGAGUACGGAAGAGGCGAGUGGAAUUCCUGGUGUAGCGGUGGAAUGCGCAGAUAUCAGGAGGAACACCAAUUGCGAAGGCAGCUCGCUGGGACGUUACUGACGCUGAGACGCGAAAGCGUGGGGAGCAAACAGG
rnacentral:rRNA from 1 species